UACGGAGGGUGCAAGCGUUAUCCGGAUUCACUGGGUUUAAAGGGAGCGCAGGCGGAUUGGUAAGUCAGUGGUGAAAGGCUUGAGCUUAACUCGGGAACUGCCAUUGAUACUAUCAGUCUUGAAUAUUGUUGAGGUUUGCGGAAUGGGUCAUGUAGCGGUGAAAUGCUUAGAUAUGACACAGAACACCUAUUGCGAAGGCAGCUUGCUACACUGUGAUUGACACUGAGGCACGAAAGCGUGGGGAUCAAACAGG
rnacentral:rRNA from 1 species